rnacentral:rRNA from 1 species
UACGUAGGGGGCAAGCGUUGGUCCGGAUUUAUUGGGCGUAAAGAGCGUGUAGGCGGCCAGGUAGGUCUGCUGUGAAAACUCGAGGCUUAACCUCGAGCUGUCGGCGGAAACCAUCUGGCUAGAGUCCGGAAGAGGAGAAUGGAAUUCCCGGUGUAGCGGUGAAAUGCGCAGAUAUCGGGAAGAACACCCGUGGCGAAGGCGGUUCUCUGGGACGGUACUGACGCUGAGACGCGAAGCGUGGGGAGCGAACAGG